rnacentral:tRNA from 1 species
GGGGCUGUCGCUCAGUGUUGGAGCACUUGCCUCGAAUGCAUGAGGCACUGGAUUCGAUCCUCAGCACCA